rnacentral:rRNA from 1 species
UACGUAGGGGGCGAGCGUUGUCCGGAUUUAUUGGGCGUAAAGAGCGUGUAGGCGGCCAGAUAGGUCGGUUGUGAAAACUGGAGGCUUAACCUUCAGACGUCGACCGAAACCAUCUGGCUAGAGUCCGGAAGAGGAGAGUGGAAUUCCUGGUGUAGCGGUGAAAUGCGCAGAUAUCAGGAAGAACACCCGUGGCUAAGGCGGCUCUCUAGUACGGUACUGACGCUGAGACGCGAAAGCGUGGGGAGCGAACAGG